rnacentral:sRNA from 1 species
GACAAGAUUCAAUUUUGUGAGACAAAAUUGACCUUUGUCAGACAAAAUUCAAUUUUGUCAAUUGUGUCUCACAAAAUUCAAUUUUGUCAAUUGUGUC